rnacentral:lncRNA from 1 species
UGACUGUCCAGUGCCUGAGAAGAAUACAAGUAUUCAAAGAACAGGUAAAACAGGAAGAGCCUGAUCUCUGAGCCCUAUGCCAUUACGGCCAAGGCACUAGCAACCAGCCCAGUGGCAGGAAUUUGUCCUUCCCUGCGGUGUAGCCACAGGCUAGAGGUGCUCUGCUGAACACUCAGACAAGGCACAUUCUGAAGGGUCGUGCUAUUCAGGACAUCUCUGAAAAAGAACACGUAGGAAAGACAGAGGAGGGUGGGAGUGUCAAGAAGACUUACUGAGCUGCACUGAAGCUCUUGAAUUCUUUUUGCCCGGUCCCUGUACCCCGCCCUGCAAAAUUAUGCGGGGUUGUCAAGUGCAUCGGUCAAGAAAGCGUUCUUGAGACGUUCAUGGUGCAACUUAGUUUAUCUAAGCACAGGCGCAGGACCCACGGGCAGAAAGAGCAGCACUUUUUGCUGUGAGGCUGGUUGUUACAGACCUAGUAAUCAAAAAGAAAGCGGGUAUGCAGGGAGUGUCAGAUUUCAAGAGUCCUUGAAUUUCUACUUGUAAAACUACGUUUGCAAGAUUCCUCUGCUGCUUAUCAUUCAGUCUGACAUUAAGUAUAGGUGAGAUAUAUAGGCAGUCACGAGACCCUUAAUCACUGUAGCAACCAGCACGUAUUUGAUGUUUAUCAAAACAAUCCAGGCUUUAGGUCAGCCUUCCAGGCUAACGGGAAGCAUUUCCCUGCUUCAGUCCUUCAUCUGUUUCACGAUCCUGCUGAACCGCUUUCAGGCCCCUUGUAGAUGAUGUUUCAUCAGCCUGGGACACAUCUCCCUUUGUGCAUGACCUUCACCGCUUUCACUGGCCUUUGACCCCAGGAAAUUCCACAACAGCAUUUUAACCGAGUCAUUACCCUAAGCAGAAAGUAACCAGGCACUGUGAAUAGCCACUCUCCCAGCCAGUGUCCUGGUUUUGAGUGGACAUGUGUAAGUGGUGCACAUGCACCUUUGCUGUGUGGUUUAGGGUUUUUCUAGACUACUUAUACUCUAGGAGGCUUAACGACUGGGAGACUUCUCUAGCAGCCUAGCAAGAAGACCAUGCAUGUUGCUGACACAAAGUUUUUGGUAUCCUUGAGGGCACUUUUUGUUGCAGAAAAGACUAAUCAUAUAUCAAUAUGCAUUUUAUAAAUUAAUGUUCAAUUUAUUUGAUUUACAAAAUUAAAAAACCUAGGGACGCCUGGGUGGCUCAGCAGUUGAGUGUCUGACUUUGGCUCAGGGCGUGGUUCCGAAGUCCUGGGAUCAAGUCCCACAUUGGGCUCCCUGCAUGGAGCCUGCUUCUCCCUCUGCCUCUGUCUCUGCCUUUCUGUUUGUGUGUGUGUGUGUGUGUGUGUGUGUCUGUCGUGAAUAAAUAAAAUCUUAAAAAAAAAAGUUUAAAAACCUAGUUCUUCCACAAGUUGCAAAAAAGUAUUAUUUCUAACAGUUUAACAAUGUAGGUAUAUAUUUAACCAUCAAGUUUUCAUACCUCUCCUUCAGUGUUUGCUGAGUACUUAAACAACUGAUUUUUUUUUCUUAAAGAUUUUAUUU